AUUGAACGCUGGCGGCAGGCCUAACACAUGCAAGUCGAGCGGAUGAAGGGAGCUUGCUCCUGGAUUCAGCGGCGGACGGGUGAGUAAUGCCUAGGAAUCUGCCUGGUAGUGGGGGAUAACGUCCGGAAACGGGCGCUAAUACCGCAUACGUCCUGAGGGAGAAAGUGGGGGAUCUUCGGACCUCACGCUAUCAGAUGAGCCUAGGUCGGAUUAGCUAGUUGGUGGGGUAAAGGCCUACCAAGGCGACGGUCCGUAACUGGUCUGAGAGGAUGAUCAGUCACACUUGAACUGAGACACGGUCCAGACUCCUACGGGAGGCAGCAGUGGGGAAUAUUGGACGAUGGGCGAAAGCCUGAUCCAGCCAUGCCGCGUGUGUGAAGAAGGUCUUCUGAUUGUAAAGCACUUUAAGUUGGGAGGAAGGGCAGUAAGUUAAUACCUUGCUGUUUUGACGUUACCAACAGAAUAAGCACCGGCUAACUUCGUG
rnacentral:rRNA from 1 species